UUUAAUUGUCACUUUUGAGAUUUUUACAUAAACCAAGACAACAAAUACUUUUUACUACUUUUGAUGCAACAAUUCAUCUUUUUCCUAUAAUAACCUUCAUCAUUUAAUAUCUCAUUUCAUUUACUUCUCUCUCUACAAUAAAUAAUCAAGGGUAAUAAAGGCAAAACAACAUUUAAUGUUGUAUUGAACUUUGAAAGUGACAGUUAAUUAGAA
rnacentral:lncRNA from 1 species